rnacentral:rRNA from 1 species
GAUGAACGCUGGCGGCGUGCUUAACACAUGCAAGUCGAACGAUGAAGCCGGAGCUUGCUCUGGUGAAUUAGUGGCGAACGGGUGAGUAACACGUGAGUAACCUGCCCUUGACUCUGGGAUAACUGCUAGAAAUGGUAGCUAAUACCGGAUACGACCCUCGGAGGCAUCUCCAGGGGGUGGAAAGAAUUUCGGUCAAGGAUGGACUCGCGGCCUAUCAGCUAGUUGGUGAGGUAACGGCUCACCAAGGCGACGACGGGUAGCCGGCCUGAGAGGGUGAGCGGCCACACUGGGACUGGGACACGGCCCAGACUCCUACGGGAGGCGGCAGUGGGGAAUAUUGCACAAUGGGCGCAAGCCUGAUGCAGCAACGCCGCGUGAGGGAUGACGGCCUUCGGGUUGUAAACCUCUUUUAGUAGGGAAGAAGCGAAAGUGACGGUACCUGCAGAAAAAGCACCGGCUAACUACGUGCCAGCAGCCGCGGUAA